rnacentral:misc_RNA from 1 species
GAUGAAGAACGUAGCGAAAUGCGAUAAGUAAUGUGAAUUGCAGAAUUCAGAGAAUCAUCGAAUCUUUGAACGCACCUUGCGCCCUUUGGCCAUUCCGAAGGGCAUGCCUGUUUGAGUAUCAUGAACACCUCAACUCUUCAUGGUUUUCCGUGAUGAGCUUGGACUUUGGGGGUCUUGCUGGCCUAUGGUCAGCUCCUCUAAAAUAAAUCAGCUUGCCAGUGUUUGGUGGGUAUCACAGGUGUGAUAACUAUCUACGCUUGUGGUUUUCCACCAGGUAACCUUCAGCAGUGGAGGUUCGCUGGAGCUCACAGAUGUGUCUCUCCUCAGUGAGGACAGCUCUUUGAAUGUUUGAUCUCAAAUCAGGUAGGACUACCCGCUGAACUUAAGCAUAUCAAUAAGCGGAGGA